rnacentral:rRNA from 1 species
GAUGAACGCUGGCGGCGUGCCUAAUACAUGCAAGUCGAGCGAACAGACGAGAGUGCUUGCACUCUCUGACGUUAGCGGCGGACGGGUGAGUAACACGUGGGUAACCUACCUAUAAGACUGGGAUAACUUCGGGAAACCGGAGCUAAUACCGGAUAAUAUUUAGCUUCGCAUGAAGCAACAGUGAAAGACGGUUCUGCUGUCACUUAUAGAUGGACCCGCGGUGUAUUAGCUAGUUGGUGAGGUAACGGCUCACCAAGGCAACGAUACAUAGCCGACCUGAGAGGGUGAUCGGCCACACUGGGACUGAGACACGGCCCAGACUCCUACGGGAGGCAGCAGUAGGGAAUCUUCCGCAAUGGACGAAAGUCUGACGGAGCAAUGCCGCGUGAGUGAAGAAGGUUUUCGGAUCGUAAAACUCUGUUGUAAGGGAAGAACAAGUACGUUAGUAACUGAACGUACCUUGACGGUACCUUACCAGAAAGCCACGGCUAACUACGUG